rnacentral:rRNA from 1 species
UACGUAGGGGCGAGCGUUGUCCGGAGUUAUUGGGCGUAAAGAGCUCGUAGGCGGUCUGUCACGUCGGCUGUGAAACCCGAGGCUCAACCUCGGCCUGCAGUCGAUACGGGCAGACUAGAGUUCGGUAGGGGAGACUGGAAUUCCUGGUGUAGCGGUGAAAUGCGCAGAUAUCAGGAGGAACACCGGUGGCGAAGGCGGGUCUCUGGGCCGAUACUGACGCUGAGGAGCGAAAGCGUGGGGAGCGAA